UUUUGCCCAGCUUUCUGUCUGGGGCGCACGGAGCAAUCGGAAGAGGGGACCGAGCGCCCACCCCAGGACUCCCUCGGCCAGUACCCUCCCUGGGACCUUGCCCAAGUUCAAAGCGGAGGCCAGUGAGCAGGCGGCAAGGGGGCGGCAAGGGGGCGCCCGGGCCAUCCCGAACCCGUUCCCCGCCUUCUGCGCCAUCGCCCUCCGGGACCGGGACUCGCCCCGGUUGCCCUCGCCCCCUGGGCCGGCCUCCCGUGGGACAGCUCGGUUGAAGGUGAUUGAUGACUAUCUGGAGACCACAGUACACAUCAUAUAAUAUCUGCUGCGUAAUUGCUUUAAUUUACAGAUGAAAAUACGAGUUCUCCGAUCGCGUUGGACCGGAGCGGGCCACGUCCGAGCUGCUUGCAGAGGGAAACCAUCGGAAAUAAUGAAUAGCCGCUCCAUGCAAAUUAUUCAGACAGUUUAGCGUCGGUAGCCGCGAGAAAUAUAUAAAGAACACGAGUCAAAUGACAUUAAU
rnacentral:lncRNA from 10 species